rnacentral:rRNA from 1 species
GACGAACGCUGGCGGCGUGCUUAACACAUGCAAGUCGAACGGAAAGGCCCUGCUUUUGUGGGGUGCUCGAGUGGCGAACGGGUGAGUAACACGUGAGUAACCUGCCCUUGACUUUGGGAUAACUUCAGGAAACUGGGGCUACUACCGGAUAGGAGCUCCUGCUGCAUGGUGGGGGUUGGAAAGUUUCGGCGGUGGGGGAUGGACUCGCGGCUUAUCAGCUUGUUGGUGGGGUAGUGGCUUACCAAGGCUUUGACGGGUAGCCGGCCUGGGAGGGUGACCGGGCACAUGGGGACUGAGGGACGGCCCAGACUCCUACGGGAGGCAGCAGUGGGGAAUAUUGCACAAUGGGCGGAAGUCUGAUGCAGCAACGCCGCGUGCGGGAUGACGGCCUUCGGGUUGUAAACCGCUGUCGCCUGUGACGAAGCGUGAGUGACGGUAAUGGGUAAAGAAGCACCGGCUAACUACGUG